GUUCGUGGCGAACCGUUCGUGGCGAACCGUUCGCGAACCGUUCGCGAACCAUUCGGGACAUCACUAUUACUAAGUAGUUCGUAUAACACUAAAACAACUUUGUUAUCCUUUUCAACUCUUUGUUCCGCAUAAGUAGUUUUGAAAUCUAUGUGCGCAUUCUCUGAACUUCUACGAAUGACACAUUUUUUAAAUCAAAAGACUUUAUUAAUCCAGAUUUUAAUAUUUGCAUUACAGUUAAAUUAAGGCUAUUUCUUUUACUGAAUAAAUAUGUGAAAUGUCUUUUGUAAGAAAGUGUUCCAUAAACUCACGUAACCUAUAAUUCUGGCUUUGUUUAGAAAUACGAACACUUUGUAGGCAGCAUUAUUGUUAAUGUAAUAAUACUGAAAACUUCCAUAAAGUCUUUGUUUUCAGAAAGAGAAUGGUUUGCGAUGCAAAAAAAAAAAUCUGAUAUCAACUUAUUAACACCUGCCAUAUUUUUAAUGGACCACAAUGAAACGUUAAAUAAAAGAUUUAUUUCUAAAAGAAAAAACACAAAAAAACUCUGUAGCUAUAGGAUAAAGUUUCGUAGCAAUUACCUUUAUUUUGUUACAUUAGUAACAUUUUCAUUACUUGUUUAACCCUUUGAAUGACAAAUUAAUUUACAAUGUGCCUAAUAUAAUUUAUUCUUCAUAUGUUUAGCAGGCUGAUUACCAAGACAAUUCAACAAGUUUCAUAAUUCGUUCUCAAGUUCCACUAACCAUCACCUUUCCAAGCAUGUGAAAUGGUUGUAAGUCCGACUUCAUAAGUGAUGUAUGUAUUUAUCUUAAUAAAUAAGGAGAGCGUAUGUUUUCAUGAAAGAAAUAGAAUUAAACAUGUUUAAAUGUUUAACUGAUUAUGUCAAAUAUAUUUUGUAAAUUGGCCUUGUCCUUAACAUUGGAUUAUUUAAUGUUUUUUCCUUUUUUGCUUUUGAUCUCAUUUAUUACUUCUGCAGUAAGGUUUAACCCUUUAAAUAUCGGAGAAGAGUGCCUUCAAUGAAUUGCACAAGUCUUAAGUUUAAAGGGUUAAGCCACUCUGUUCCAUGUAGCAUCGGAAACUGUAAUUGAACUAGAUUGUAUACCUUCAGUAGAAAGAUGCAGUUCUUGUAAAGACAUCUUUACAAAAUAUAAAGUAAGAAUUUGGUUGUAGGUUGGGAAAUCUGAUACUGUAAUUAUUAAUAUUGUAUGUUAGAAAUCUUGUAUACAAUGUGUAUAUACUAUAUAUAGUUGUAUACUAUGUGGAAAACACACUAAAUGAAUGAAUGGUCCCUGUGUACUGUUCUUGUUAUCAUUA